CGAAGUAAAACAAAUGGCCGCCGCCCAUGCUCCCGGCAUGGGGGGAGGAAAGUCCGGGCUCCAUAGGACAAAGCGCUGGGUAACGCCCAGUCCCGGCAACGGGAAGGAAAGUGCAACAGAAAGGAUACCGCCAGGCACCUGGUAAGGGUGAAAAGGUGAGGUAAGAGCUCACCAGCUCCGCCGGUAACGACGGAGGCUUUGUAAACCCCGCCUGGAGCAAGACCAAAUAGGGGAACGUUAAGGGUGGUCCGCUCGAGUUCCCGGGUAGGUCGCUCGAUCUCGCCGGCAACGGCGAGGCUAGAUGAAUGGUCAUUAUUUCGAAAGCGGGCAACCCUUUCGAAAAACAGAACCCGGCUUACGGAUUGCUUCGACAU
rfam:Delta proteobacterium NaphS2 ctg_1101087565908, whole genome shotgun sequence.